UACAGAGGGGGCAAGCGUUAUUCGGAAUUAUUGGGCGUAAAGGGCGCGUAGGCGGCUUGGCAAGUGGAUGGUGAAAUCCCUCGGCUUAACCGAGGAACUGCCGUCCAAACUGCUUUGCUUGAGACCGGGAGAGGUGAGUGGAAUUCCCCAGUGUAGCGGUGAAAUGCGUAGAUAUUGGGAGGAACACCAGUGGCGAAGGCGGCUCACUGGACCGGUACUGACGCUGAUGCGCGAAAGCGUGGGGAGCAAACGGG
rnacentral:rRNA from 1 species